rnacentral:misc_RNA from 1 species
GAUGAAGAACGUAGCGAAAUGCGAUACGUAAUGUGAAUUGCAGAAUUCAGUGAAUCAUCGAAUCUUUGAACGCACAUUGCGCCCGCCAGCACUCUGGCGGGCAAGCCUGUUCGAGCGUCAUUUCAACCAUCAAGCCCCAGGCUUGCGUUGGAGCCCUGCGGCUGCCGCAGCCUCCUAAAAGCAGUGGCGGGCUCGCUAUCACACCGAGUGCAGUAGAUUACUCUUCGCUCAGGGCGUGCAGCGGGUUCCGGCCGUGAAACCCCCUACUUUUAAAGGUUGACCUCGGAUCAGGUAGGAAUACCCGCUGAACUUAAGCAUAUCAAUAAGCGGAGGA